GCUGGGCAUGGUGGCACACACCUGUAAUAUCAGCUACUUGGGUGGCUGAGGCAGGAGGAUCACAAGUUCAAGGUCAACCUUAGCAAUUUAGUGAUACCCUGUCUCAA
rnacentral:sRNA from 1 species